rnacentral:rRNA from 1 species
UACGGAGGGUGCGAGCGUUGUUCGGAAUCACUGGGCGUAAAGGGCGCGUAGGCUGUCCGCUAAGUCUGAUUUGAAAGCCCGGGGCUCACCCCCGGAAGGGCAUUGGAAACUGGCGGACUCGAGUCCCGGAGAGGAAGGUGGAAUUCCUGGUGUAGCGGUGAAAUGCGUAGAUAUCAGGAGGAAUACCGGUGGCGAAGGCGGGCUUCUGGACGGUGACUGACGCUGAGACGCGAAAGCGUGGGGAGCAAACAGG